rnacentral:lncRNA from 10 species
GAAAGCGCCUCUUCCCCGUCCCUCUCCUACCUCCGCCAGGCAGGAAGAGAGCUUUCUCCUUAGAGCCGUGACUUAGGGGUGCCCAGCCCCAGGCACCUUGAGCCCCAUCCUCCUGCGAUGCCCCCUCGGAGUGUGGCUCUUCGGGCUCCAUCUUAAUGUGCAGUGACUCCUGAGUGUCCCCUGAAGGUACCGCCUCCCCCAGCUUAGAAGGCAUUUCCUGAUGAGGAUGUCCACGAUCUGGAACCUAGAAAGGACAGCCCCAUCAGCACCCAGAUGAGUGGGAGAGACACCCAGGGCCACAUGGCAGUGCGCUCCGGCAGCGUCGGAAACCAACAUGCAAGACGCAGCUUGAAGGACUGUCCUUGCUGCAUUCAUCCAGCUCACCCCAGCAAGGACGGGCGGCAAGAGGAGGAAUAUUCACCAAGCCGCCUCCACAGUGCCGGUGGGCGUGGUGCCCAAGGGCAGCUACCCCUUCUCAGCUCCAGCCUCACACUGACCUCAGCAGUGUAGACUGCUGUCUAUUAGUGUAUGAAGAAACCAAGUGUAGUGGCUUGAAUAGUGUCCUCUAAGAAUCCGUGUCCUCCCUGGACCUCAGAAUGGGACCUUAUUGGGGAAAAGGGUCUUUAUACAGAAUAGGAGAGGACACAGAGACACAGAGAAGGAAGCAGAGACUGGAGGGAUGCCCACACCAAGGACACCAGGAGCCCCCAAGGAGUUGGAAGAGACGGAGUUUCGCUCUUCUUCCCAUGCUGGAGUGCAAUGGCGCAAUCUCAGCUCACCCCAACCUCCGCCUCCUGGGUUCAAGCGAUUCUCCUGCCUCAGCCUCCUGAUUACCUGGGAUUACAGGCAUGUGCCACCACACCUGGCUAAUUUUGUGUUUUUAGUAGAGAUGGGGUUUCUCCAUGUCGGUCAGGCUGGUCUGGAACUCCUGACCUCAGGUGAUCCGCCCACCUCAGCCUCCUAAAAUGCUGGGAUUACAGGCGUGAGCCACCGCGCCCAGCCUAUAAAAUUGAUUCUUUAAAAAAAAUUAGAACAUUUACCGAUGCUGGACCCACCUUCCCCACCUUCAGGGUCCACUUUCUAGGUGGCCACAGUGCCUGCUUGGCCCCUGUAGCAUUUGAGUUUGCAACUCUGCUUUUGGAGUUAAACAUGUUUUAGGAGUCCUGGGAUUCUGAUUGAUGCUAUUGUCAAUUUGAUGAAAGAAAAAUUACUCCUGGGA